UGUGUGGAGGACCCAGAGGAUGCCGUAACAGCGAUGGAUGACAUGACGUCAGCCCCAAAGCUUGCUCCUGGUGACAACUGCUGUGCUUCGCCCUCACAGCAAAGCCGGAAAUGAGAAGUCUCAGUAAGACCCCCACUUUACAGUAAGAACCGAAAGCCCAGUGUUAUUAAAUGAAUCCUUGCAGGCUGCCACACCAGAAACCGCUGGGGUUUGCAGGUGGCUCUGACUUUAUAGCCCGGAUGUUGUCCCCUACUCUCCCCGCCCAGGUCCCUUCCAGGCGGUGUUUCUAAGCCCCAAGAUCUAUAAAGCAUUGCUUAGAGAAUGCAACAAAAACAGGGAAGGAGAAGGGAAACUCCAGGCAGGGGGAAGUGUGAAGGGCAGAGUGAAGAGAGAGACAUGGGAUUACAGAUGACCCCAAGCUUCCCUCCAAGGCUGUGCGCAAGUCUAGAGAAGAUACCAAUCAGGACCGUGACCCCAGGAGGACUGAGAGGAAAGGGUUUCAGGUAGCCCAGGCUGGAGUUGAACUAAGCCAAGGAUGUCCCUGAAGUCCUCAUCUUCCUUCCUGAGUGCUGGGAUCACAGGUGUGCACCAGCUGGGGCAUAUGGUGCUGGGGAAGGGACCCAGGGCUGGGUACAUGCUGGGCAAGUGCUCCACCCACUGAGCGUCAGCCCACACUGGUACUUUGACAGCCACAAAUCAAGAGAGGGAGGUAGUCCACAUCAGCAGAGAGAGGAAGAGAAAACGAAACAACUCAAAGAGGGCCAAGAGAAAAGAGAAGAGAAACAGAAAGGACAGAACUAGAAGAAAGGGGAGAGAAAAUAAGGCAGAGUAGAAUCCAAGUGCACAAAAUUGUAAGUAGAAGAAGCUUGCCAGCUCAAAGUCUCGGCUGAGCGGGAGGGUAAAUGAACGCCGCUCAGGUGGAGUCAGGAGGCAGUAUACAUAAGUCUGUUCUCGCUCCACCUUGUCUGGACCAGGGAUUGAACCCUGGUGGUCAGACUUGCCAGCAGGUGCCUACCAAGCCAGCUCUGACUCUGCCAGUGAGCUACAAGGAUCCUGUGUUCUCCACCUCACAUCCCAGCACUGGGUCUCAGCAUCCUCUCCUCAAGGGUGCUGGCGAUCCGACUCAGACCCUCUCGCUCAGGCAGCAGAGACUUCCCAGGCCACCACCUCAAUUUAAAUAAGACAACACUGAGUGCAGCCAAAAACAAAAUAAUAGAAACAAAACAAAACCCUGCCGAGGAGUUAGAGAGACGGCGCAGCAGUUAAGAGCACUGGCUGCUCUAGCGGAGGAACCAGGCUCAAGCCCUGGCACCCCAGCUCUCCACUCCAGCCCCAGGAGAACUGACUUCUUCUGGCCCCCUUGGGUACCAGGCAUGUCCCUACUGGGAACCCUAAAGUCUCCAAAGAAGAUGGGUGGCACAGACCUGGAUUGUGGUGACGCUAACCACUGGGAAAAACUGACCAUGCAUUGCCUGCCGCUAGGGCCCUGCAGAAACUGUGGACACUGUUGCGUUGAUUGCCCUACUCUGCCUUGCCAAAGUAGGUUUGUCCCCCAGGUUCCUCCUCUACAGGAAAAUCUCAGACCUGGGUCAACCAGCCAAAGGCUGGUGCUGUCCUGUGCAGUAGCUGAAGAUGUACUGUUGUCCCCAGUGAAGUCAUCAAGCCACCAGGGCAGCUCUCUAGGUAUUGGCUAAGUCUCCUUGUCAUUUUAAUCGAUACCGAGGCCAUUUUGACUAUACUUCCUGCUGUAAUUUAUCCUUCUCAGAACUCUAAUGGUGUUGAUGGCUAACUGUGGCUUCAUCAGCUUAGCAGCAGCUGCUGAUCAAUGUUUUUCACAUCUAAAAACAAGGCCUCACUCUUCUGGAGCUAUUGGAUCACUUGAUGAAAAAGGCAAACUCACAGGCAGGUUCGCCUUACUAACAGGCUUUGUAUUAAACAGGUUUCAGAUGUAACUUACACUGUUUAAAGGAGAAAGUAUGGUGGCCUAUAGGCUUGACCUUAUAAACUCUUGCAACACAUGGCUCAAGGAAGGCCAUUCCAGCUAGGAAAUUUCAGGAAGCGGUCCUGACCAAAGUCCAUCUCUUGGUCAGUAUUUAAUAUUUAAUAAAGCUUGCUUUAAAUUUAGCCCUAAAAUGGUGGGAUUGAUUUUUCUCCUGUGAAUAUCAAGAUUAACACCAAUCUCAAAAAAAAAUUUUUAAAAAUUAAGGUUUAUUUAAAUUACGAAGGUCUAAAAAUAAUUUAAGUUCUAAACAUCCGAGGGUAUAAAUAGUCUAAAUAAGUUAUGACAAAUUAUAAACAAUGGUAAUAUAAGCUUCAGGGAGAAAAAAAAAAAAAGUCCUAAGACUUGGAUCCACCUCAGCUCUAAUGGACUCCAGAUAAGAACUCCUGUCAACAACAGCCUGAGCUUCCCUGCCUAUUGCCCUCGCCUGAUAGAGAAGCUCGAAAUAUAAAAAUUUCCUUUAAGUUCGUUAACAACUUCCAUCCCUAGUCUGUAUAUGCUUCGGCAGAGUUUCACCCAACUUGUAGACACCACCCAGAAAUCAGCGGCUGGCUACAGACUGCUCCAUGCCAGCCUCGGGUGGUGCCACAAAACCGGAAAGCCCCGGACUUGCUGAAAACGGAUCUAAGCCAGUUAAGUCAGUGUGAUUGCUCCCUGUGACUUCAGCUGGGUCAGCUAACCAGAUGCUUCUGAUCAGUACCCUCUUGCCCUAAUCCCCUCAUGAACUUUGGUUAAUAUUUUGAGUUUCUGGGCCCUGACAAUGGAAUCCUAAUUUCAGCAGGAAGUAGUUACAGAGAUUACAUCGCCCCUCAUGUUCAAGAAAGGGCUGGAAUAUUAGGUACAAGGAAAUUCCUUGGCAGAGGGAACAGGUGGCUACCAAUAGAAACCAUUGGCACACCACGGUUACACGACCUAAAAAUAUUUGUUCUAUCUAUGCUUACCAAAUAACUGUAAUUUGUGAAUGAGCAAUGCAUCUUUUGAUGCAUUUCCCCUCAGAUAAAGAAUGCUAAGACCCUAUCGAGGGUUUGACAGGGACUCAUAAGACAACUAGCCUGUGUCCAUCUUAGGCUUAAAUGCCACCUUGUCUUAAGUACAAAAUAGGCUCAGUUUAUGGUUAAACAUCAUUUCUCAAGGACUGGGCUAUGCCCCACCUGUAACCUUAACUACAAAUGGUUCUGUACCCCCUGUUCCAGAAAUGGCGAUCAUGUCUGUUUCAAAAAGUUGUUUAUAACCAUCUUGCAACCCUACCUUUGUUUCAAAGGACCACCUGAGUGACUGUUCUGCCCACCCUGCAACCCUGUCUUGUUUCAGGAUGUCCUGAGGACUGAUGGGUAUGCUUAUAUCCUGCUCCUGUACCCCACCUAUUUUGUUUACUAAAUACCCCAUUUGUCAACCCCUACUGGAGUGCUAAAAGCCUUGUCUUCCUCAUAUCUCUGAAGCUAACCUCUAGAACCCCACUUAAGGGGGAGGCAGCCUGUGAACAUGAUUUUUAAAACUUGCUUCAAUUAGUUGAUCUCUUUAAUUGAUUUGGC